rnacentral:rRNA from 1 species
CCUACGGGGGGCAGCAGUGAGGAAUAUUGGUCAAUUGGCGGGAGCCUGAACCAGCCAAGCCGCGUGAGGGAAGAAGGUACAGCGUAUCGUAAACCUCUUUUGUCAGGGAACAAAGGCGGGGACUAGUCCCCGGAUGGGGGGACCUGAAGAAAAAGGAUCGGCUAAAUCCGUUCCAGCAGCCGCGGUAAUACGGAGGAUGCGAGCGUUAUCCGGAUUUAUUUGGGUUAAAAGG